UUAAUUGUGUAUAUUCAUCUACUAAAAACUAUUGUUCUUAAUACUCCUAUUUUUUAUACACCCUAGCAGAAAUGAUAUAUUAUGUUAUCAUUUUUCAAAAUUAAGGGACAUAAUAAUAAUCACCGCAAAUCUAAUGCAUGAUUUGUUAUUUAUAUCUUGUGUUUUGCUUUCGUCUUAUUUUAUUUUAUUUUAUUGAUGAAAAACAU
rnacentral:lncRNA from 1 species